rnacentral:rRNA from 1 species
UACGUAGGGUGCAAGCGUUACUCGGAAUUACUGGGCGUAAAGCGUGCGCAGGCGGUUUUGUAAGUCAGAUGUGAAAUCCCCGGGCUUAACCUGGGAACUGCGUUUGAAACUACAAGGCUAGAGUGUGGCAGAGGGGGGUGGAAUUCCCCGUGUAGCAGCGAAAUGCGUAGAGAUGUGGAGGAACACCGAUGGCGAAGGCAGCCCCCUGGGUUAAAACUGACGCUCAGGCACGAAAGCGUGGGGAGCAAACAGG